UAGGACCGUUCCGCGACCACUGACGACGGCGUGUCCGGAGGAGCAUCUUUGCCUGUGGCCGUCGGCCAGUCAGAGACUCGGUCGGGUUUGCCGUUUCAACGUCCAUCUCAUCGGAGACAAGACACCACACCAUGGUGGCGUUUGUUUGUUCAGGUACGCUGGGGCUCCAUUCUGGCGGUGGUCCCGACGCUCCUCUUGGUCGUGCUUGUCAUCCAAAACAUCGUCUUCUUCCACUUG